AUUGAACGCUGGCGGCAGGCCUAACACAUGCAAGUCGAGCGGUUGACGGGAGCUUGCUCCCUGAUUCAGCGGCGGACGGGUGAGUAAUGCCUAGGAAUCUGCCUAUUAGUGGGGGACAACGUUUCGAAAGGAACGCUAAUACCGCAUACGUCCUACGGGAGAAAGCAGGGGACCUUCGGGCCUUGCGCUAAUAGAUGAGCCUAGGCCGGAUUAGCUAGUUGGUGAGGUAAUGGCUCACCAAGGCGACGGUCCGUAACUGGUCUGAGAGGAUGAUCAGUCAAACUGGAACGAAGACACGGUCCAGACUCCUGCGGGAGGCAGCAGUGGGGAAUAUUGGACAAUGGGCGAAAGCCUGAUCCAGCCAUGCCGCGUGUGUGAAGAAGGUCUUCGGAUUGUAAAGCACUUUAAGUUGGGAGGAAGGGUUGUAGAUUAAUACUCUGCAAUUUUGACGUUACCGACAGAAUAAGCACCGGCUAACUCUGUGCCAGCAGCCGCGGUAA
rnacentral:rRNA from 1 species